rnacentral:rRNA from 1 species
CAGUAGCCGCGGGAAUACAGAGGAUGCAAGCGUUAUCCGGAAUUAUUGGGCGUAAAGGGCUCGCAGGCGGCUUCUUAAGUCUGAUGUGAAAUCCCCGGGCUCAACCUGGGAACUGCAUUUGUGACUGUAGAGCUGGAGUGCGGCAGAGGGGGAUGGAAUUCCGCGUGUAGCAGUGAAAUGCGUAGAUAUGCGGAGGAACACCGAUGGCGAAGGCAAUCCCCUGGGCCUGCACUGACGCCCAUGCACGAAAGCGUGGGGAGCAAACAGGAUUAGAUACCCCAGUAGUCCCUGUCUCUUAUAU